AACUGGUCAAGAUACUAAGAGCAUAGGGUGAAUGCCUUGGCACCAGGAGCCGACGAAGGACGGGAUAAGCACCGAAAUGCCACGGGGAGUCGCAAGUAGACCUAGAUCCGUGGAUAUCCGAAUGGGGAAACCCGCCUAAGGAGAACCUUAGGCAUCAUCUACUGAAUCCAUAGGUAGAUAGAAGGCAAACCAGGGGAACUGAAACAUCUAAGUACCCUGAGGAAAAGAAAGAAACCUCGAUUCCCUAAGUAGCGGCGAGCGAACGGGGAAAAGCCCAAACCGGUAAAGUUUACUUUACCGGGGUUGUGGACCGGCGAUAUGGAAACAAUAAUUGUAGUCAAAGAGGUCUGGAAAGUCCCACCAUAGCAGGUGAAAGUCCAUUAGACGAAACAAUUAGAGUUACUAGCCGAGUUCCAGAGUACCACGGGACACGUGAAACCCUGUGGGAAGCAGGGGGGCCCACCCCCCAAGGCUAAAUACUACCUGGUGACCGAUAGAGAAUAGUACCGUGAGGGAAAGGUGAAAAGAACCCCGGGAGGGGAGUGAAAAAGAACCUGAAACCCUAUGUUUACAAGCAGUGGAAGUUCUAUAUAAGAACGACCGCGUACUUUUUGUAGAACGGGCCAACGAGUUACGAUAUGCAGCAAGGUUAAGUACUUCAGGUACGGAGCCGUAGGGAAACCGAGUCUUAAUAGGGCGUCAUAGUUGCAUGUCGUAGACCCGAAACCGGGUGACCUACCCAUGGGCAGGUUGAAGUUGAGGUAAAACUCAAUGGAGGACCGAACCGCUUAGCGUUUAAAAGCUAUCGGAUGACCUGUGGGUAGCGGUGAAAUUCCAAUCGAACCCGGAUAUAGCUGGUUCUCCUCGAAAUAGCUUUAGGGCUAGCCUCAAGAAAAAGUGACGUGGAGGUAGAGCACUGACUGGUCUAGGGGCGUCUAUACGUUACCAAAACCUAUCAAACUCCGAAUGCCACAGUCAUAGACUUGGGAGUCAGACUAUGAGAGAUAAGUUUCAUAGUCAAAAGGGAAACAGCCCAGACCACCAUCUAAGGUCCCAAAGUACAAGUUAAGUGGAAAAGGAUGUAAGACUACACAGACAACCAGGAUGUUGGCUUAGAAGCAGCCAC
rnacentral:rRNA from 1 species